UAAAUAAAAAACUAGGGAACUUAAACUUAAGGGUACAAAAGAAUAAAGUGGAAGUUGCUGCUAACAAUUUUUUAGGCGAGCACAAAACAAAGAUACACAUAGCAGCCGAAAGUCUAAGAUGGAUUAGCAAUUUCGCUAUACUUUUUUUCCUCUCCUAGAAGCUUGACAUGGUUAUUAGUUGCAGCUCUGGUUGAAGAACCUCUUUUCUUGAUGUUACAAGGAUGUCAAUUAAGGAUGUGGUAGAGUUGCAGAAGCAUAUAAAAUAAUUUGAGAAAUCUAACUGUGGAGAUUGCUAUGAAUAAAUUACAUAAUUUUGAGAUGCUGAAGGAGAGGAUAAAUGGUGCAAAGUUAUGGAAGAAGAGUUGUUAGCUAUUCAGAAGAAUUAGACUUGGGACAUGAUAAAUUUGCCCAAAGGAAAGAAGGCUAUUAUGCUCAAAUGGGUAUUUAGAACAAAAUAUUAUAGAGAGGGCAACAUUCAAAAACACAAGGCAAGGCUCGUCACAAAGGGUUAUUCUCAACAGUAAGUGACUAUGCAGGCAAUAUUGGUGACAGAAAGAGCACAACUGGUUUCUUAUUUAAUCUCGAAUCCGGAGCAAUUUCAUGUAGUUCAAAGAAGCAUAAAGUGGUGGCCUUAUCAACUUCAGAGGCUGAGUAUAUUGCAGCAACUUCAGCAUCUUGUAAAGCAGUUUAGUUAAGGAUACUUGUCGCAACUUUAAAUCAGAAAUCAGCUGGUGCGACUGAGAUUAUUUACAACAAUAGAUCUUCUAUUGCAAUGAAGAAAAAGCCAGCUUUCCACAGUAGAAUAAAUCACAUAGAUGUUCGAUAUCACUAUAUUCAAAAUCUUGUUUCUACAAGAGAAAUUACUUUGAAGUCUUGUGAUACAAAUGGGAAAGCAACAAACAACUUCACCUAGUCACUUCUGCAAGCAAAGCACGAGUUCUUAAAAGUUCAACGUGUUGAGAAAUGAUUCAAAAAGAUACUUGAUCAAGUAUUCAGGAAGUUAGUUAUUUAUUAUUUAGUUUCCUUUAUUCUAGCAAGUUUAGAUAGUGUUGCAGAUUAUUAGCUAGUCACUAAAUCUGUGGGUUAGUGAACCUAAAGUUUAUAAUUUUAUGUUUAUUGUGAGCCUAUUUAUAGGCAUGUCUCUUUUUUUUCACAGGCACAUCAGAAACUAAAAGAAUUCACUGCAGUAUUUUCUUCCCUUUUGCUUA